CCCGGCCAGGACCUCGCCGUUUCCAUAAACAGAUGGACACCACGGGCCUGGCGCAGGGGCAGAGGCAGUGGGAGGAAAUUGUAUCUGACAAUGAUAACGAUCUGGCAUCUCCCAGAGCUUCACAUCCUGGAGAGUCCAGCGGGCCGUCCAGAUUGCCACUUGUGCAAACGCGGCGGCUGUAAAUAGAAUCGCCCAGCCUGGCUGUCCCUCUAGGGGACCCGCAGGACAUCUCUGCUGCCCCUCCUCCAGAGCUGUGCACAAAGAGGAAGCUGAAGAGGUGGAGGCGUGGAAGCUGCUGGAAGGCUGGAGGAGAUAUUCACUGAGGGCCUGCUGUGUCCCAGGGACUGGUCUACCUGGAGGUUUGAUGGUGAACGAAACAGAGAUUCUGCCCUCCUGGCGCCUUCGAUCUAGGGUGGCUUUAUUGAUACCUACAGAGGAUGUCCAUGUGGCACUUACUGCUCAGAGUGCUUUAACAAUCCCUUAGUAGCAACAGCAGCAGUGGGAGCCUGCAGGAGCCUAAAACUCUGAGAAAAAACCCUUUCUCUUCCAUCAAAGGAGCUGUAGGCCCAAGAGGGUGGGUGAAAUUCUAUUGCAUUUUUUCUCUCUCUUUCUUUCUGGUUGGCCUGGACAUGGGCUCAGUUGUGGGAAAUAAGUAGCAAAGUAGGGUGGCCAAAGCCCCUGCUUUUUGGCCGGAGGACUGAAAAGGGGUGGCCUAGUGAACCAGAAAGUAUGUAGGAGAUAAUGGAGAGGGAGGUGCUUGGGAAAAUGACCUCUUAAAGUGGUUUAUGAACUUGUGGGCUACACCUCAUGAUCUGUGAAAGUGUUAACUUGACCCUAAAUAUUAUAUAUAGACUUUGAGAACUGAACCAUGGGCUGUGUCACUACAUAAGUCUCAGAAUGUACUGCCCACUGGGUGGUAUACAUGCAAUACCAUUCCAAACAGCACUAUAAAAUUUUUGAAUCUUGAACUGAUAUUAGAGCAACAACUCUCAUAAGGCUAGUUGGAACUAGCCUGAAGCCAACUGGGGUAUUUGCUUGCUUAGAAAAACAAACAAACAAACAAACAAACAAACAAAAACAAUAAGAACUUUGAGUCAUUUGAAUGAACACUCAAAAUGUCCAAGAUACAAUCCAAAAUUACCUGGCAUACAAAGAACUACAAAAAUCUCAAGCCAUGCAGAGAAAGAUAAUCAACAGAAAUCAAUGUCUCACUGACAUGAAAAAAAAUUUAAAGCAGUUCUUAUAAAAAUGCUGCAACCAGUUAGAGAGAACACUCUUGAAAUGAAUGAAAAGUUUAU